rnacentral:sRNA from 1 species
CGAUGUCCGACCGGUUCCCCCCAACGGGUCGGAGGUCAGUGGCCCCGGUCUCCCCCGACCGGGGCCACUUCCG